CCAAUUUGAAUCGCAUUUCCAGCAGUCGUCGAUGGGGUUUCCGGUGUAGCAGGAAGAAGAUUCGUCGUUCUCUGAGUUUUGGAUCAGUUGCCUUCUUGUCAUGGAAUCAUUCACUUUCCUACGACAGUUCAGGGCUCGGAUGCUGGCCGGGGAGGGUGAGGUUGAGAGCGGUGCAUGGCGGCGAGAGGGAGUGUAGCAGCAAAGCUAGCAGCACAAUACAGAUUGCAGCCACCAUUUUGGAGAGCAAAAAUUGUAAGCUCUCUUUCUCUCACUCUCUCUGCAAUUGUGUUAGAACUGUCAACUGUUCUUCAUUUUUUUGCCUUCCAUGUUACCCUCAAAA